GGGAUUGCCUCAGUAACGGCGAGUGAAGCGGCAAUAGCUCAAAUUUGAAAGCUGGCACCCUCGGUGCCCGCGUUGUAAUUUGUAGAGGAUGCUUCGGCGAGGACCCCUGCCUAAGUCCCCUGGAACGGGGCGUCACAGAGGGUGAGAAUCCCGUAUGUGGCGGGCGGUCCGAGCCAUGUGAAGCUCCUUCGACGAGUCGAGUUGUUUGGGAAUGCAGCUCUAAAUGGGAGGUAAAUUUCUUCUAAAGCUAAAUAUUGGCCAGAGACCGAUAGCGCACAAGUAGAGUGAUCGAAAGAUGAAAAGCACUUUGGAAAGAGAGUUAAAAAGUACGUGAAAUUGUUGAAAGGGAAGCGCUUGCAACCAGACUCGCUCGCAGUUGCUCAGCCGGCCUCUUGGCCGGUGUACUCUUCUGCGAUCGGGCCAGCAUCAGUUCGGGCGGCUGGAUAAAGGUGUCGGGAACGUAGCACCCUUCGGGGUGUGUUAUAGCCCGGCGCGGAAUGCGGCCAGCCUGGACUGAGGAACUCGCUUCGGCAAGGAUGCUGGCGUAAUGGUUGUAAGCGGCCCGUCUUGAAACACGGACCAAGGAGUCUAACAUCUAUGCGAGUGUUUGGGUGUCAAACCCAUGCGCGUAAUGAAAGUGAACGGAGGUGGGAACCCCUCGCGGGGUGCACCAUCGACCGAUCCUGAUGUCUUCGGAUGGAUUUGAGUAAGAGCAUAGCUGUUGGGACCCGAAAGAUGGUGAACUAUGCCUGAAUAGGGUGAAGCCAGAGGAAACUCUGGUGGAGGCUCGCAGCGGUUCUGACGUGCAAAUCGAUCGUCAAAUUUGGGUAUAGGGGCGAAAG
rnacentral:rRNA from 1 species